UACGGAGGGUGCAAACGUUGCUCGGAAUUAUUGGGCGUAAAGCGCUCGUAGGCGGCUUGUUAAGUCGGGUGUGAAAGCCCAGGGCUCAACCCUGGAAGUGCACUCGAAACUGGCGAGCUUGAAUAUGGAAGAGGGUCGCGGAAUUCCCGGUGUAGAGGUGAAAUUCGUAGAUAUCGGGAGGAACACCAGUGGCGAAGGCGGCGACCUGGGCAGAUACUGACGCUGAGGUGCGAAAGCGUGGGGAGCAAACAGG
rnacentral:rRNA from 1 species